rfam:Salmo salar isolate Sally breed double haploid chromosome ssa18, whole genome shotgun sequence.
GAAAACAACUACUGUAAUUCGCUCUGGAUAAGAGCGUCUGCUAAAUGACUAAAA